rnacentral:misc_RNA from 1 species
AAAAAUGUAGCCACCUGAGAUGCCAGAAUAAAAUGUAAUGGAAACUGAAUCUAAUUGAAGGUUUAUAUGAAUUUCUCGGAAACUAAGGCCGAACGGUGGCGAAUGGCAACAUAUGUCAAGAUCGUUAAAAUCGACGAGGCCGUUCAAUCAGCAAACCUGGGAAAAAGAAGUUUUGGGAAUCGUGGCGCGUAUAAAGCAUCGAAGGUGCUAACCGAUGCCCGAGCGCAGGUACACUCGUACGUCUUCGGGGACGGUGAGGAUCAGGGUCGUUAACACUGGUUCGCGGCGGGUACAUCGACGUCCGACGGGGGUCGGCACCUUCUUUUUUCGAUUCUACAUACGUACCGACGGAUAUACACAUUGAUUGCAUUUUUGCGUCCGUGCCGGGUAAUAAUGCUAAUUUGGCGCAAAUUAUCUUAGAACAAGGCUCGUUAAGUCAGACGUUGGUCGGAACGUGUGUCACGAAUUUGCAAAUGGCGUGAAGCUGACGAGACCAAAGAAGAGGCAACCGUGACUCGAAGUCACGGGCAAGAGAACGCGUGACAAUAAGUGCAUCGACUCUUUGAACGUGUCAGUCGAAAGUCGGAGCUCGCGAAGGGGAUCUGUCGUCACUUGGUUGGUAUAGUUGAUUUCUUCGACAAGAUGGAACAGACUGGCGAAAGAAAGAGGAAAACAGACUAUUCCGUGGACCGUGACGGCGCACAUACCGUCUUCGAUAUGCCAUAUACGAGGAAGAGUACUACCGAUGGCCUGGGAAUUUUCAUGGAGAGGAUCUCUAACGCGGAUCCGGUGUAUCUUCUCGAACGAAGAAGAUCGAAAACGCGAAAACGAAGCAGAUAGACGGAAGAGCGAGACCGAGAAGCAUCGGAAGCAACAGAGAGAACAAGUAGAAAUUGCUGGAGGUUUGAAGAGGCGCGAGUAAUUUUGAUAAAACAAGUAGGGAGAUCAGUAGCUGAAACGAAGAAGGAAAAAACGAGGACG